AUUGAACGCUGGCGGCAUGCUUUACACAUGCAAGUCGAACGGCAGCGCGGGCUUCGGCCUGGCGGCGAGUGGCGAACGGGUGAGUAAUGCAUCGGAACGUGCCCAGUAGUGGGGGAUAGCCCGGCGAAAGCCGGAUUAAUACCGCAUACGACCUGAGGGUGAAAGCGGGGGACCGAAAGGCCUCGCGCUAUUGGAGCGGCCGAUGUCGGAUUAGCUAGUUGGUGGGGUAAAGGCUUACCAAGGCGACGAUCCGUAGCUGGUCUGAGAAGACGACCAGCCACACUGGGACUGAGACACGGCCCAGACUCCUACGGGAGGCAGCAGUGGGGAAUUUUGGACAGUGGGGGCAACCCUGAUCCAGCCAUGCCGCGUGCGGGAAGAAGGCCUUCGGGUUGUAAACCGCUUUUGUUCGGGAAGAAAUCCUCUGGGCUAAUACCCCGGGGGGAUGACGGUACCGGAAGAAUAAGCACCGGCUAACUACGUG
rnacentral:rRNA from 1 species